rnacentral:misc_RNA from 1 species
CCCCAAAAUCAGCAUUUGAGCUCGAGUUACGCGCGGGAUUGAUGUGGUGAUUUGUUUACAUUUGUGCAACAAUUUAAAAGUAUCGUGCUAUCAUCUUGUUGGUCCAUUCAUCAACAUUAAACAUGGGUGCUGGCUAUACCUGUAUGAAAUACCUGUUUGUGGUACUCAACAUACUCUUUUUGCUUCUGGCAGUUUGCGGUAUCGGGAUCUCAGUAUGGAUGUUCGUCGAUCCAACGAUACCUCUGCACUUUACUCAAGAAUCCAAGGACUACCUGAUUACGACGAUCAUAAUUCUUCUGGCCUCCGUUAUCCUCCUGAUCGUUUCGAUAUUGGGUAUCUACAGUGUGGCCCAAGAAGCAAGAAAAGCUCUCGUUGCUAGUUUCUGUCUCCUUCUGAUAAUCGUGGUGGCUGAAAUAGCAGCUGGCGUUUGGGGAUAUAUAAAUCGGGACAGUUUGGAGGCUCAUAUUCGUACGUCUGUCAAGCAGUCCGUCAGACAAGAAUACGACCAGGACGAGAAUGUUAGAAGAUUGUUCGACACCAUCCAGUCCAAACUGCACUGCUGUGGAGCCGAACGACCAACUGACUGGACACGUGGAAAGCAAUUCAACAUGGGCAUUUCCUCCAACGAUGGCAGUACAUACAACGUCCCGGAAUCUUGCUGUCGAACUGGAAUCACUCCAACAGAUUGUAGGGGAGCAACAGUUAAUAUACAGGUCGGAAAAGAGCCCGAUAAGAAAUUGGUAUACAACGACGGCUGCUACACGCUCAUCUACGAAUGGUUGAAGGAUAGCUGUUGCAUCAUUCUCAUCGUCGGAGGAGUCAUCCUGGGCGUCCAAGUAAUCGGCCUCAUUCUAGGUUUAAUCAUAGCGUGCUCGAUGAACAGAUCUCAUCGCUAUAAAGCUUAAGUCUCCAAUAUGAACAGAGCUUUGUCCGGGUGAUUUUCAAAGAUGGCUGUACGGUUAAUCAAAGGUUGAGAAUUUAUUAGACAUGUCGUUUAAUUGGCCUAAAACGUACUGGUGCUUCAUGGAAAGGCACGAUUACUUUCUUACUGGUAGUUUAUUUAGAGAUCAAGUGAUCUUAGAGUAAAUUAGCGUUUUAAUAAUUAUAAAUUUGUUAGAAUAAUCGUACAAAAAUCGUAAAAAAAUUAUUUUUAAUGUGGCCAAUGUAUCUAUGGUUAGUACAGUGUAAAUACAGUUGCACGUCAUUAUCUACGUCAGAGAUCUAAAUUGACAGUGUUGCCAAAUUACAAAAAAAUCCUGUCAAAAGUCAUUUUAAAUCAAAUAUAUCACAUAAUUAUUGCAGAAGUGGAUUAUUCAACAACAAAAAUUAAUAUUCAAUGUAAAUAAAUUAAAAAAUUACAAACAGAAAACCAGUAUUAAGUAAUAAUCUUACGUCAAAGCAAUAAAUAUAAACAAACAAAUAGUUAUAGUAAUUAAUACAGACAAAUCUGAAGUGUCAACACCGUAACUGUCAAAUAAAUGUUACCAAUUUAUGUCAAAGUCUCACCUUCGUUCGAUUGCAGUUAAAGUGUGAUCCGAACAAGUGUGCUUUAUAAAAAUGCUUUAUAUUCCACAUAUUUUAAAUGAAAAUGAAAGUUAUGGUUAUAUUUUUUUACAUAUGUUUACAUUAAUAGAAAUCUGCAAAUAUUAUUUCUACGCCUAUAUAAUAAAAUGUCUAAUUACUAAGGAAGUAAAAAUCUUCUCUUGUAGGUAGAUGGUAUAUAAUUUAUUAAAUUUUUUUCUAAAAAAGAUCCAAGUUGGACUUAAAGUGGCUACAUCACAAGUACAAAAAAAAAACGUUUUCGCACUAAUCAGUCCAUCAUCAGGUUAAAAACCUAAAAUAAGUAAACCACUGUAUAAAAAGGCAAAGUUGAAAUUUUGUCUGUUAAAAAGUUAGGAAAAAAUUAAAACAUGUGGUUACUUACUUCAGAUCCAAAGUAGUUGGAACUAGCUACAUAGGUAGGUCGAAUGACCUUACCAGUAUAAAAAUUACGCCAUUUCGGCUACAUCGAUGGUGACAAUAAGUCGAUGUUAUAAGAAUACAAUGUAAUUAGACUAUAAUGGAGUCUUCAUCUUGGCUUCAAACUGACAGACUGAAAUUUGACGUUGAAAGAAUAUUGCCAAGACCUUCUAGAUAGGGAAUUUUAUGUGUAUACAGUUAUUUUAUAUUUAAAGAUGCAAAAAAUUCCAAAUGAAUGAAUUUAAUUAACUAUUAAAUAAAUAAAUGAAAACGAAACCGUUUAAAUUAAAAAUAACAGAAUUAUUUAUGAUAAUUCUAUGACUAUUGGAAGCAAAAAUUUUGCCUACAAGGUAAUGACGUCAUUUGUUCGAAAAGAAGAAAAGAAUAAAGAAAAACUGAAGAAAAUUAAAAUAAAAUUUAUUAAAUGAUGAAUAUAAGGUACAAGUAUUAAUGCUUAAAUAUGGAGUUUGACAGUUAUGAUAUACAAUUUCAGUUAAUUUAAAAAACAGAUAGAGUAGAAUUAAGUUUUUCUCUAUCUGUUUUUUAAAUUAACCUAAAUUGCAUAUCAUAACAGUCAAACUCCAUAUUUAAGCAUUAAUACUUUUACCUAAUAUUUAUCAUUUAAUAAAUUUUCUUUUAAUUUUCUUCAGUUUUUCCUUAUUCUUUUCUUCUUUUCGAACAAAUGACGUCAUUACCUUGUAGGCAAAAUUUUCGCUUCCAAUAGUCAUAGAAUUAUCAUAAAUAAUUCUAUGUUAUUUUUAAUUUAAACGGUUUCGUUCUCAUUCAUUUAUUUAAUAGUUAAUUAAAUUCAAUCAUUUGGAUUUUUUGCAUCUUUAUAAUACAAAAUAACUGUGUACACAUAAAAUUCCCUAUCUAGAAGGUCUUGUCAAUAUUCUUUCAAUGUCAAAUUUCAGUCUGUCACUUUGAAGCCAAGAUGAAGACUCCAUUAUAGUCUAAUUACAUUGUAUUCUUAUAACAUCGACUUAUUGUCGCCAUCGAUGUACCCGAAAGGGCGUAAUUUUUAUACUGGUAAGGUCAUUCGACCUACCUAUGUAUCUAGUUCCAACUACUUUGGAUCUGAAGUAAGUAACCACAUGUUUUAAUUUUUUCCUAACUUUUUAACAGUCAAAAUUUCAACUUUGCCUUUUUAUACAGUGGUUUACUUAUUUUAGGUUUUUAAUCUGAUGAUGGACUGAUUAGUCCGAAAACGUUUGUUUUGUACUAGUGAUGUACUCACUUUAAGUCCAACUUGGAUCCUUUUUAGAAAAAAUUUUAAAUAAAUUAUAUACCAUCUACAAGGGAAGAUUUUUUACUUCUUUAGUAAUUUUUUAUUAUGGUAUACAGCCAAUGAGAGAAAUUCUUUCCUUUUUAAAAUGUAUAAUGGUUGUAAGUCCAAUGUACUUGGCUAAACGAUUCUAAGAAGGAACAGACCUACAGCUUAAAUAUUUUGUGUUGGUAUCGGCUUAUCGUAUCGACUUAAAUAUCGUGUGACGUCUCUUGCUAUGACGCGGAUGACGUGCAACGCUAUUUAUACUGUACGAACCAUAAGUGCUCCUCCGUUACAUGCUGGUAGUCAACGUGUUAAUACAGUAUAUUCAUCUAGAUAUAUCGGCCACGAUCUUAAAAAACGUUUAAAUUCAAGAAAUCUCUGUUUGUGUUACCUUCUAUAGCAUACAUUAAUAAAGUAAUAAAAUUUCUCGAUGUUAUGCUCAAAUGUCCGCCAACUUGAGAACCGACUGAAAAAUCAGUGACAAUCUUCCAAAUAUAGCCAGUCUUUGAAAAUCUGCCGAACAGACUUGCAAUGUUUUAGUUUUAAUUUUAAGAUUAUACAUACGUACAAAUGGUCUUUGAGUGUAGAUAGUUUGCUGCAAAGAAGUACACAUUUAUUGUCAAAAUUUCAUAGACCAACGAAAAAGUGAUGAAAAAAACGAGUUUUUACAAAUUUUAGGUCCUCUGUGGACUAGAGAAAUUCGAAUUUAAUGAUUAUAUUGAUUUUAUUAAUUACGUAUGUAAAUGAUUUUAAUUAUCUAUUUUUUAAACUGUAAAUAAGAUUCAAUUUAUGUAGGAAAAAUACGUAGACUUAUUUAAAACUUUACAGAAUGAUCUGUAAUAUUAGUUGCCUAUAUUAGUUUCAUUAGGCUUUUAAAAUGAUUCAAAACCGUGAUCUGUGUUAUUGGUUGUCUACAUUUAGGGGAUUUGUCGUUUAAUAAUAAAAGAAAAUGGUAAAAAAACCAGUAAUGACGACAUAGGUUUAUUCAUUUUUCAUUGUUACUUACUUCGUUGAAACAAUUCUUACAACAUAUCUUCCCUUCAAACUGCCUACUACUUCUAUGCACAAAAUUAUCUACACUUUCAGAACCUCCUCUAUUAUUUGUCUAAAAUGUUUACAUAAAAAUCAUAUAUUCUAUGAGACAUUUUACUCUCUAAAGAUGUAAAUAGACAAGAAUCUCUAUUUAGAUAUAUUUCUUUGAUGUUGUGCCAUAUUUAUGUGAUAUACAGGCGGUUCAAAAACAGAAACGGUCCCAGUAGAUUUAUACCGAAUGCGUUUUUGAGCCGCCCUGUAUGUUAUUCGCUUAGUAUAACGGCGUUCAGUGUUUACUGUAUUCUAUUGUAGGUGUUAAGAGAUAUAUGUACUUGGAAAGUGUUAUAAAAGGCUUACCAGAAUCCCACCAAUAUGAUUGCUUAUAUAAAAAAAAUAUACGUAGAAAACAUACCUAAUAAUUCUAUGCACAUUAGUCUUUCAAGAAUUCCCAAUUUGUUCAAAGUUUCACUAAGUUUGUAAUGGUUUUGCCAUGUAACGGCGAUUUAAAAUCCACAAAAAGCCAUCAUACACUCCUGGUCAAAAGAAUCCGGCACUUACAUUUUAUGUUUUUUGAAGUUAUACUUCUUUAGGCGCGAUUGAGAGUGAAUUUUUAUUAUCCUGGGCGCAUGCGCACACAGACAGUAUGUUGUUAGUUGCUAAAUCAUUCAAGUUAUGUAUGUAUCAGCGCAAAUAAGGUUUGGAAAGAAUAUGUUAGUGUUUUUAGCAAAUAUAUUUAUUAAAAUUUGUGUGUCUUUGGAUUUGCCUUCCUCGGGAGUAAGAUAAUAAGUAUUCACUUGAUCUAUUUGUCACCGUGAUUUGUAAUUACGUCCGAGAACUCGUGUAAACAAAGCCCUGAUGGGUUAUUGGUAGAGCAUUCGACUACAGAUCGCGGAAGUCCCGGGUUCAAAUCUUAAUACGGACGUUUCUUUUUGAAGUUAUACUUCUUUACGAUCAAGAGAGAAAUUUUAUAAAUGCCGGGCGCAUGCGCACACAGACAGUAUGUAGUUCGUUGCUAAUCUUUCAAGAUAUGUAUGUAUCAGCGCUGUCAGCGUAAAUAAGUCAUUAAAAGGAUAUAUUAGUGUUUUUAGUCAAUGUAUUAUAACUUUUAAGUCUUUGGAUUUGUCUUCCUUGGGAAUAAGAUAUUUUAUAAUAAUAGUAAGUAUAUUUAAAGUAUUUUUGUAAACUUCACUUGGUCUAUUAAAUUUGUCUAUGAGUAUGUAUGAGAAAUCUUGUAAGCUGUCGAAGCAAAGGGAAUAUAGCUCAGUGGUAGAGCGUGUGACCGGAGAUCUAGAGGUUCUGGGUUCAAAUCCCGGAUGAUUCAUAUUCUUUCUUUUUUUAAUUUUUGGUAUCGUUUUAAUAAAACAAUUUUAAAAGUUAGUUUAGAAAGAAAGUUAGUUUAAUAUUUACAUAAAAUACAAAUAACCUGUUACGUACAUUUAUUUCUUUGAAAUUAUGUAAUAGAAGUAUAAGUUCUUACGUGCGUACAAAGUACACACACCUUUUUUUUCAAACACGUAGAGUCUUUUCGUUUGUCUCUGUUAUCGUCCACGUUUUGCUUCCAUACAUCAAUACGGGUCGUAUGAUUUGUAUCGUACAUCUUGUUAGUUGUUUCGAUUUUAUAAGAUUUUGAAAUGCAUAAAUAUAUCUGUUGCCGGCUUGUAUCCUAUUGUUUAUUUCUUGUGAUCCGUUAUUGUCUUCAGUUAUUGUUGUUCUAAGAUACUUAAAUUCUCUAACGCGCUCAAAGUUAAAGUCAUCGAUGGUUAUAUUCUGACCGAUCCUGUCUGUGCUUUGGUUCAAAAACACCAUUACACAAUAUAAAAAUGAUUACCUGAUUGGUGGGAUUAAAAAUCCAAAAUUUUAUAACACUUUCCACUUUAUAAUAUUGUUGAUACGUACCAAAUAUAAACUAACGCACUGGGAAAAAAUUUAAUUAUCUAUAUAUUUUUUUUACUAACUUUUAAUGUUAAGAUCUGAACGAUAAUUUAAGAAUCAGCCAUGACAUUAUUUGAACUGAUAUUUUUCUUAAGCUUAUCAUUUCACUGCCCAACUUUUUGUACUAAACAUUCCAUCCUCCAUUUUUGCAACUAUUUCUGGAGCCAGCCGUUAAGAAUAAGGCCAGAAAGGACAGGCUUAUAACGGUGGACAAAAUUUUAAACAGUUAAUGGACAAUUUAUAUAACGAGGGUGUAACGCACAGUUCUGAACUAUAACAUUUGUGAAUAACUGGAAUACUUGACCUUUGCAAGUGAUAUUUUACGGGGUAAGUAGGAAGUUUAUGUGAAUCCCGUAAAAUCAUUUUUGGAUCGUGUUAUGUACAAUAUUUUUUCUGCGGACAUUUAUUAUGUUACAAAGAAUCUGAACGGAUACAUUACUUAUGAACUUUUUAUUAUAAAUCACAUAUAAAAUAACAAUUGCUCUCAUGAAAAAAUACUUUCUUCUUCUUCUUGAUGUGGUGUGCCGAGCGUUGGCUAUUGUAAUUUUGUUGAAAUGUUGAAAUUCUUCGUUUGCUUGCAAUUAACACAAUGUCAUCCGCGUAUCUCAAAUUAUUAAUAUUGAUGCCAUUCAUUUUGAUACCACAUUGAACAUUAUCCACUGCUUUAUUGAAAACAUACUCAGAAUAGAUGUUAACUAUUAGUGGGUAUUAAAUUACUUAUCAAUAUUAAGUACCCGAUUAUAACAAUUACUUAUAUUGAUAUUAUUAGGGAUAUUAACAGAAGUAACAGUAUUGAAAUUAGUAUUAUUAGACGUAUGAGUAUUUGUACUACUUUUCGAAAUAUUAAUUUCGUUACCACCCUUUUCAAUCUGUGAUGCUACGUGAAUUUUGUUUUUUAAAAAAUCUUCUACACUUCUUAUAAGUAUAGUAUCUUUCUCAUUUACGAUAAUAUCAACAAGUUUGAAACUGAUUUGAAAAGGAAUAGAGCAAACACUUCUACUUUUAUACAGAAAAUCUCUAAAAGCAAUUAAAAACACAAUAGAAGUUUUACAGCGACAGAAAUAAAUCAAAAUAAAUAACAAACUUAAUAUGAGCUUACAAUAAAUAGCAAAAACAGCAAAUACAAUGAAACAUUGGGCAAAUCCCUCUAAAAAGUGAUAUAACACUCUUAAGCGUAAAAUUACGACCCAUAAAAGCUUUUGGAUGAGAUUGUUGAAACAUAUUUUAUUGUUUAAAAAAGCAAUACAAAUAUGUUUUCGAUAAAUCUCUUGAAUAUGGUAUACAGGGAAUUAUUCUAGGGAUAAAUACUCCCCUAGUGCAGUUUUAAACUAUACCACUUUGGUUUAAUGAUAAUUUUUGCACUAGCGAACAGAAUAAACUAGAGAUGCAGCAAAUUCUUACCCAUUUAUUAAUGUCUGCUUAAUUUCAAUUGUACAUAACCUCACAUAACCUAACUUUCUAAUGUUUGUUGCUCGUUUUUUACUCAGUAGCGUGAAUUUUUCUAGUAGCAUCACAAAAUUACAUUAACUGAUUAAAAUUGUCCACGAAAUCGAUGUUUUUAUCUUAAUUAUACUAAAAAAUUAGUAACAUAAUGACUCAGUACCCGUCCCGAGUAGUGUUUCCGCAGUUUCCAUAUUCUUUAGUGCUACACUUAGAUCUAGAUCAGCCAGCUAGUGUAUAGAAGAAGAAUAGUAACUGAUGUUUAAGAGAUAUGUUGUAGUAUGCGUACGGCAGUAAAAAGGCUUAUUUUCGAUGUACCUAAUCAGAUUUUAAGACUGUUUUCUAGAUGUGCCAAUUUAUCGUGACAAAAUAUGUUUAAGUCAUAUCAAAAUGAAAGUUUUAUUACUGUUUUACACCGUUGAUUUUGACCAAUUUGCCAAAAUUGUUUAAUGUAAUUUAUUGUUUCUACUGAUAUGAAACGAAACCUAACACGUCUGUCAGUAAGUCUCGGGCCUAAAGUAAUCUCCUUUGUGGCGAUACAAUCAUUCCAAAGCUUUUCUAAUUUUUCGAUGCUGCCCUUGUAAAACUAUUUAUAUUUGUCUUCAAAAUAGGCUUCAGUUUCGACGAUUACGUCCUCAGAAAAAAAGGUUGGUCCCGCUUGGGACCAAAUCUGGACUACACGGCGGAUGCGACAGCAAUUCAAAGCUCAAUUCGUGCAUUUUUGCCAUCGUUUUCGUUGACUUGUGACACGGUGUAUUGUCUUUGCGACACAACAAUUUUUUCUUCACCAAAUGAGGCCUUUUCUUUGCGAUUUCAAUAUAGUAGGCGCUGUUGACGUUUCAAAUAGUCAAUGAAAAUAAUUCCUUGCGGAUCCCAAAAUACAGAGACCUUCCAGGCGGUUUGUUGCAUCUUUGGGCGCUUUGGACAGCUUUCUCCGGGUGGUCUCUAUUCAGAUAACUGCCGGUUUGUUUCCGGAGUGAAGUGGUCGAUCCAAGUUUCAUCCAUUGUGACAUACCGAUGCAAAAACUCAUGACAUGUUCCGUUUAAACAUGUCCGAACAGUACCGACAUUCAACAAUUUGUUUCUUUAUCAUAGACAAAUGUUUAUGUUUAAUAGUCAAAAUGCCUUUGAUAACUUUAAAGUGUCAGCUAUCUCUCGCAACCUCACUUUGCGGGUUUCCAUAAUAAUUUAAGAUAUUUUUCGAUGUUUUCGAAAAUACUGCAUCAGUUGACCUUCCGGAGCGCUCAGCAUCAUUGGAGUCGGUACGACCACGUUUGAAUUCAGAAAACCAUCGUUUAAUGGCUGUAAUCGAUGGAGCAGAGUCCCGGUAUCACUUUUUGAGCCAUUGCUCAGUGUGGAGAGUAUUAUUCCCCAUCAAAUAACACAAAAGUAGCGUUACUUCAAGCAGCGUAAACUGUAACUCGGUAAAUAAUCUUCUUCUUCUUCAGUUUAUUGGCCUCCACCUACUUGGGUAUUUGGCCAGCUCAUCGUCUCGGAAUAAGGGAAAAAUCCUUUAUUCACUUACAAUUUGGAGUUAGUACAUAAUCCGAAUGACAUGAACAUUUUGGCAGUACGCUUAUGAAGGUUAUGGCUACGGAAAUGUCAAAUGGAAAAUUCAUUAGAGCCGCCAUCUCACGGUUAGACCCGGGACUUAUUGACGACGCAUUAUAUCUAAGCCAAUUCGUGAGCUCAAGCGAGGGUGCUGCCGAUUAUUUGGAACUAGAGGAUUUGGGAUGAAAAUAUAAAUGUAUCAACGUCGUUUGAAAGCUUGUCGGAUGUGUUCAUUUAAUGAAUAAUUUAUUUAUAUUAAUUAAUUACAUCAAUAACAAUAUUAAUUAUAACAAAAUACGUUAUCCCAAUUACAUCGGCCAUUUUCAUGCAACCGCACACCUAUAGUCGAUUGAGUUCGCGAAUACAUCCUAUGAAUAUUGACUUAGAGGCAUCUGAAGGCAGGCCCGCACAGCAGUCUCUGAUUGGCUAUAAAAUUGCUAGAAAUCAACUGUGUACAACAUGCAACCGACAUCUGUCUUUUUUAUGUUUUGUGCACAAUUUCUUGUAGAUUUAGGGGCAAAAGUGUACAUAAGCAUUGUAGUUAAACGAACGAAAAUAAAAAAUCAAAAAAAGAACGAAAGCAGGUAUUAAAAUUGUGAAGAUUGUAUUUUUGCAGGAAUCUGUUCAAAAUUGAAGUAUGAAUUUAUUUUUAUACAAUAUUCAGUAUGUUAGAAAAAGAUUUCGAAAUGAAAGAAUGUCUAUUGACGUUUAUGUUGUUUUUUUCGCUGUUUGGCAGUUAAACUAUCUUUUAAGGCAGUUGUAAAUUUAUAUGUUCUCAAAUACAACAUGUAUUUUUUUCUUUAUAUGUACGAGGGUAAUUCCUAUGCCUCCAAAAAAGGGUGCGACGUGCUGGUAGAAAGUUGGCAACACUGCCUUACAUAUUUACUCCACCACCUUUACCUCACUGCAUUGCUCAGUGUCGGCUUAGCAGUCUUCGAAGAUGGAGGUCCCGGCUGCUGUUACCUCCAAUGUUGUGAAAUUCAUGCUGUGAUAGGUUUUUAAAUGCAAAAUGUAGUUUAUAUAUAUAGUGGCUAAAACACCCCCGUGGGGGUAGCGCCGCCUUUACAGGCUCUCUAGAUCCAUGUUUUCGAGGUGGAUCAUAAUGGAGUUUACCUACUGAUAUUCAUCAUAGUAGUUUAUCGAAGUUUAUGGGUAGAAGUGCAUAUCUGUUCAACAUGUUUGAAAAUGGUCUGAAAUUCAUCUUGAAUUUCCGUUCGGCCUUUACUGAAUUCUCCACAUCAUUUGCGAACAUGUUUAACAAAUACGCACUUUUACUCAUAAACUUCGAUUAACUGACGAUGAAUGUCAAUAGGUGAAAUCCAUUUUGCAUUUAAAAAACGUAUCACAGCAUACAUUUCACAUUGGCGGUAACAGCGAACGGGACCUCCAUCUUCGAAGGCUACUAGACCGACACUGAGCAAUCCCUCGAGGCGAAAGUGGUGGGGGUAAGACAGGCUGAGUUGAUGCGUAAGGCAGUGUUGCCAGAUUUCUUCCAGCACGUCGCAUUCUUUCUCAGCGGCGUAGGCAAUCUUAUUUUACCGAUGACGUAUGUCAUCGUACAUAAUGUUUGUCUAAUAUGAAAAUUCGUUUAUAUAUUUUAUAAACUUAUAUAUUUCUACUUCCUAUCGAUUCCUCUCGUGAGGUUGAACAAGGAAAGAGUUCGUACCGUGUUUGUUUUAGAUUAACAAAUGUCUUAAAUGCCAACAGGUUGUAGCAUAUUAUAUAUUUUUAUUUUAAGUUGUAUUUUGCUAAUGAAUCUCUUUGAAGUUUUGUUUAAUAUAAAUUAACACAUUUAUUUUUUAUGUAUCGUUUAAUGAAUAAAAAUCGGUAAAUAAU